rnacentral:SRP_RNA from 1 species
GCCGGUGGGGUGGCCAGUGCCUGUAAUCCCAGCUACUCGGGAGGCUGGGGUGGGAGGAUCGCUUGAGCCUAAGAGUUCUGGGCUGUAGUGCGCCAUGCUGAUCGGGUGUCCGCACUAAGUUCAGCAUCAAUAUGGUGACCUCCCGGGAGCAGGGGACCACCAGGUUGCCUAAGGAGGGGUGAACUGGCCCAGGUCGGAAACGGAGCAGGUCAAAACUCCGGUGCUGGUCAGUAGUGGGAUGGCGCCUGUGAAUAGCCAUUGCAUUCCAGUCUGGGCAACAUAGCGAGAUCCCAUCUCA